rnacentral:rRNA from 1 species
GAUCAAGCGAUCAAGGGCACAGGGUGGAUGUCUAGGCACGGACUGGCGAUGAAGGACGUGGCAAGCUGCGAUAAGCCAGGGGUAGCUGCAAGCGAGCGUUAAUCCCUGGAUUUCCGAAUGGGGAAACCCGGCCGGGGUGAUGCCCGGUCAUCCCUUCGCUGAAUACAUAGGCGUUGGGAAGCGAACCGAGGGAACUGAAACAUCUAAGUACCUCGAGGAAGAGAAAACAACCGUGAUUCCCUCAGUAGCGGCGAGCGAACGGGGAAGAGCCCAAACCAUGGAGGUGUCAAGGCGGCAGCCGUUGCUUCCAUGGGGUAGCAGGGUGGUUCGUGAGAGUCUGCCGGCUCUCGGAGCGUCGCGCGACGGUGAGUCGAAUCCGUCUGGAAAGCCAAGCCAUAGAGGGUGACAGCCCCGUAGGCGAAGCCGACGUCGCGAUCUCUGGAUCAUUCCUGAGUAGGUCGGGACACGUGAAAUCCCGAUUGAACCCGGCAGGACCACCUGCCAAGGCUAAAUACACGUCCGUGACCGAUAGCGAACGAGUACCGUGAGGGAAAGAUGAAAAGUACGCCGGGAGGCGGGUGAAACAGAUCCUGAAACCGUGUGCCUACAAGCGGUGGGAGCUCGACCCUCUCUUCGUGAGAGACGUCGGGUGACCGCGUGCCUUUUGCAUUAUGAUCCGGCGAGUUGUUCCUCAGUAGCAAGGUUAAGCCGUUCAGCGGCGGAGCCGAAGCGAAAGCGAGUCUUAACUGGGCGUAGAGUUGCUGGGGACAGACCCGAAACCAGAGUGAUCUAUCCAUGGCCAGGUUGAAGCGAGGGUAAUGCUUCGUGGAGGACCGAACCGUUGUGGGUUGAAAACUGCUCGGAUGAGCUGUGGAUAGGGGUGAAAGGCCAAUCAAACCUGGAGAUAGCUGGUUCUCCCCGAAAGAUAUUUAGGUAUCGCCUCUGAGUGUAGACUGCGGGAGGUAGAGCACUGGAAGGGCUAGGGCCCUAAACCGGGUACCAACCCCUACUAAACUCCGAAUGCCCGUUAGUUGGUCUCAGGGAGGAAGUGCACGUGCGAUAAUGUUCGUGCGCGAGAGGGAAAGAGCCCAGACCUUCAGCUAAGGUCCCCAAGUGCUAGCUAAGUGACAAAGGUGGUGGAUUUGCGGAGACAACUGGGAGGUUGGCUUAGAAGCAGCCAUCCUUGAAAGAGUGCGUAAUAGCUCACCAGUCAAGCGGAUCUGCGCCGAUAAUGGUCGGGACUGAAGUUAGCCACCGAAGCUAAGGCUGCGCGCAUAUGCGCGCGGGGUAGGGGAGCGUUGCCUGAGCCGUGAAGCGGGGCCGGAAGGCUACCCGUGGAGCGCAGGCAAGUGAGAAUGCCGGAAUGAGUACGCGAGAAACAAGGUGAGAACCCUUGUCGCCGUAAGCCCAAGGUUUCCUGAGCCAUGCCAAUCAGCUCAGGGUUAGUCGGCCCCUAAGGUGAGGCCGAAAGGCGUAGCCGAUGGAAAACGGGUCAACAUUCCCGUACCACACGAUACUGCGCUUGAGUCUGCGGAGGGACGCAGAGGUGAAAGGUCCGUCGUUUCCAUGGACAUGAACGAUGUAAGGAGGUAGGCGUUUCCGGGUAGGCAAAUCCGCCCGGUGAAGCCGAGAUCCGAUGCCGAAGAAGUCUUCGGACUUCGCUAAGGGACCGUAAUCGUACUGCCAAGAAAAGCUUCGUGGACGAGGAGUACGUGUGACCGUACCGCAAACCGACACAGGUGGGCGAGGCGAGUAGCCUCAGGCGCUCGAGUGAGUCUUGGUUAAGGAACUCGGCAAAAUGUCCCCGUAACUUCGGGAGAAGGGGAGCCGGCAGUAGGUGACCUUGCUUCGCGCAGGAGAGCCGAAACCGGCCGCAGAGAAUCGGCCCAAGCGACUGUUUAGUAAAAACACAGGUGUCUGCAAAGUCGUCAAGACGACGUAUAGGCACUGACGCCUGCCCGGUGCCGGAAGGUUAAAU